rnacentral:lncRNA from 1 species
ACAUGUUUUCAAAUGAUCCUAAGACACCACUCCGUGCACUCUGCUACUUUAUGGACCCUGGAAUGGACCCGAACUUGGCGUUGGUCCAGUUCCCUCAAAUUUUCCAUGGGAUUAACAAGGAUGAUAUAUAUAAUGCUGAACUUAAAGAAAUGCUUGUCAAUAAUAAUUUGGGAAUGGAUGGUUUAUUAGGACCACCUUAUAUAGGUUCUGGGGGGUUUUUUCGUCGACAAGCUUUGUUUGGAACUCCAGUAUCACAUAUACCUCCCCAGCCUUCAGAAAUUAGUCCUCAUCAUGUUGUUAACAAGUCAAUGCAGUCCGCAGAGAUUUUGGCUCUGGCACACCAUGUUGGAGGCUGUAACUUUGAGGUUCAAACCGAGUGGGGAUCAGAGGUCAGACACUUUGGUACAUUUAUUAAUAAAAUUCACAUAUUACUUCGAACCAAAAUAUUAAAUAUUUAUUCUCUAAUUGUCGCAGAUGGGAUUUAGGUAUGGCUCUUUAGUGGAGGAUUUUAACACAGGCUACAGAAUGCAAUGCCAAGGAUGGAGAUCUGUUCUCUGCAAUCCAAUAAGACCAGCAUUCUUAGGAAGUUCACCAAUAACACUCCAUGACAUGCUCAAUCAAUGCAAAAGGUGGUCCAUGGGUCUUCUUGAUAUCACUUUUUCCAGAUAUAACCCUCUUUUCUUUGGUGUGCGGUUCAUGAACCCUCUCCAAGCCUUCUGCUUUGGACACUAUGCGAUUUGGCCCAUUUGGUCGAUUCCUCUUAUUAUCUAUUCCUUCUUGCCUCAGCUCGCUCUAAUCAAUUCUUCACAUGCUAUUUUCCCAAAGGUAAGCUAAAAACUGCACUACUACAGGGUCGAUCAAGUUCAAAUUUUGUAACGUGAAGAGUUGGUACACAGUAUAAAUAGGUAUUCAUAGUAGUUUAAUUAUUUUUGCUCUAAUUAUGAUGUCAGGUGACAGAUCCUUGGCUGUUUUUCUUGUAUGUGUUUCUUUUCCUUGGUUCAUAUGUGCAACAUCUUCUCGAAUAUGUUACAUUUGGAUCUCCAGCCAAAAGGUGGUGGAACAGUCAGAGAGUGUGGAUGAUGAGAGCACUUUCAAGCUUUCCAUUUGCAUUGAUUGAAUAUAUACUAGAAUGCUGGGGAGUAUCAUCGUUUGGGUUCAAUGUGACUAGCAAGGUACUUGAUAGUGAACAAAGCAAACGUAACGCAGAAUGUAUGUUUGAAUUCGGAGUGCCUUCUCCACUUUUUGUUCCAAUAAAUAUGGCGGCAAUGAUCAACUUGUGGGCGUUUUUACAUGGGAUAAAACAAGUGAUUAAGAGGAAUGAAAGCUUUGAAGAUAUAUUUGUGCAGAUGUUUUUAGCUGGCUUUGGAGUGCUUAAUUGCUGGCCCAUCUAUGAAGCCAUGUUAUUGAGAAGGGAUAAAGGAAGGAUGCCAUUAAAGAUAACUUUAUUAUCAACCUUCCUAGCAUGGCUUGUUUAUCUGAUAUCCUCUUCAGCCUUUUGAAAACUAGUAUUGUUUUGUAUCUUGAUUCUAGGACAAUGCUCUCCGGGUGGAGAUAGUAUCGUUUUGUGCAAUUCUUGUAUUGUAUCUUCAAGAUCAUACUACAAUACUUGAGUAUCGUCUCUUUUAUAUAUACAUUUUAAAUAAAUUAGGGUCAUUAUAUUUUUUUUCUUAUGUUCUGUUGGAUGUUAUGGAUAAAUAGAUGUUCAUAUUUGAUUUGAUUGAAUUUUGAAACGUACCAUAGGAGCGUUUCAAUUCAACCUUUCUCAAAGCAAUCUAUUUGUAUUCAUAUAAGCAGCGAGCAUGCUAUUAACUAUGUCAGCUGCGUUCAGUUUCAGACUCCAAUUACUAUCAAGUCACCGGGCAGAAAGACGUGGCCAUUCCUUUUAGCAGUGUUUACACCAUUUUAGAGUUUUGGUGUUGGGUUGGAGAUGAUAUCAUGCAUCUCUGCCUCUUUUAACACCUCUUCGACUGAUUUCCUUCUCAGACCCCCUCAUUUGCUUCUCUGGACUCUUUAAUUCAGUCUUUAAGAUUGCAAGGCAGUCUUCUACAGAGUCAGAAGUGCAAACCUUCAUAGAGAAGCUACAAACAAAGAACUAAUUCCAGUAACAGGUGUUCAAUAACUUGUGAAUUAAAUCUUAGAGAGUAAAGAAUGAACUCUCAAAAUGCAUCACAAGAAGUAGAAGCACUUUAAAAAAGCUGAGAAUGCUAACUUGUCUCUCACAACUUCUGAUUCUUUUCCAAACACUUUAUUAACUUAUUUAUUUCUAACGUCUACUCCACUUCUUUAAUUUAAUCAAGAAGUGACUUCUUUUAAGUUAACCCAAACGGCCCAAUAAUCUCUUAGAACGUCUCUCCAAGAAAUCUUGGUUAAAAUUCACUAAUACAUACCAUAAAUAAAAAUAGAGGCUAUGUACAAAACAAUUCAACUCCAAUGAGACCUUCCCCUUAUAUAUAAUUAUAGCCAACCUUUAUUGAUGUAGCAAGAUUUUACAUCAUUUAUUACUAUAUUAAAACAUUAUAUUAUAUUUACACAACUUGAAAUAAUAAUUAUACACUUUUUUAAAAUAUAGCCGAUCAAAAUAGUUAGUACCAUUAAAACACAAUAUUUUACAGGUUCCACAAAUUUUAUAUAAUAUCUUGCGAUCAAAUUUAACUAAUCAGUUACAGACUUAUAGUCAAUACUAUUAUACUAUUGUAGAUGCUAUUUAAUUAAUUAGUUAUAAUCAAUAGUAUUCUAGAUGCUAAAGUCCUGUUUACCAAGUAUUUUUUAACCAACACAAUUGCAGAUCCUCUUAUAAUUACAGUCUAUGAUUUGUUGGAAUUAGGAAUCGACGAUCACUUCAAGAUUUGGAAAUGUUAUACCCGCUCCAAUCUCCAAACGGAUACAAGCCGUCCCGAAUGAGGACUAGAGAUCUCUGCGGAGAUUCGAGAAAUUUGUCUUUUCUAAAAAAAAUUAUAUUAUAAUAUAUGAUCUUUGAUUAAAAUUAUUUUAGUAAGUUGUCAUAAUAUACAAUGUUUUUAGUUAUAUUUUGAGUACCAAUUCGAAUAAUACUCAUUUAUAAUAAAAAUAAAAGAGUAGAUUUAAUAUAAUUUGUUUGUAUUAUAAUAUGAAAUGAUUUAAUCAAUGUGAUGAAAGAGAUUAUUUAAAUUUUCAUAUAUAUAUAUAUAUAUAUAUAUAUAUAUAUAUAUUUAUCAUUAAUAUUUUGUAUAAUAUAAUAUACAUAAAUAUAUUCAUAUUAUAUAUGAAAAUCGGGAAAUUUCAAGACGGUUCGCGACCAGAAAAUAUUAAUUUUUGAAUCCGUCCCGAUCUCCGAAUUCUGGUAUAUAAUUUUUUUCCAAUCUCUAUCCCGUACUCGAGAGAAUCUCUUAUUUAUGAUUUCGUGCCGAACGGCCCGAACCUGAUAAACGAAAAAAUAGGUGGUCUUUUCUGGAAUCGAGCGGGACAGACUGGAUCGGGUCGGUCAGAUGGGACAGGGACACGUCCUCAGUUGACAUCAGGCUUAAAACUAGGGGUGUAAACAAACCAAACUGUUGGUGAGCUACUCGAGCUCGGCUCGUAAAAUAUUCGGAUUUGAUUCGGUAGUAAUCAAGCCGAGCUCGAGAUCGAGCUAUUUGGAUGUUUUACCGAGCUGAGCUCGAGCUUCAAAUUACUCGGCUCCUAAGGUUCGCGAGCCUUAUCGAGCCUCUACUAUUAUUUAAUCUUUUUUAUUAUAAAUAUAUUUUUACAAAUAUAUUUAAUAUUUUAUUUAUAAAUCAUAUAUUUAAUCGAAUCGAACUCGAGCCAAACCGAUCAUAUUUCGAGUUUUUGUCAAUAUUUAGUGUCUCGAUUCGAGAUUCCGAGCUGAACUCGAGCCUAUCAAACUGUUUACGAGCCGAGUUUCGAACUUGAAAUUAAAGCCUCGGUCGAACUCGAACUCGAGCUCGAGCCCCGAACUUUUCAAUUGAGUUCGAGCCGAGCCUGACAGUGUUCUACUUGUCUCGGCUUGAUUACACCCCUACUCAGAACUCAGAAGAAAGCCAGUAUAAUAUGAUCGCCCACCACGUUUUUUUUCCCUGUCAUCAAUUGCUAGAGCUCAGUGCACCUGAAGCUCAACCAUAUAUGACCAUAUCAUAUUAAUGACUGUUGCAAUCAACCAUUUGUGAUCUUUGUCUGUACAGGGACAGCACUUGGAAAUAAUAAAUCCUCUUUUUCUUUUCUUUGUUUUCCUUCUUUUCCAAAUCAUAUAAAUCGUUUUUAUUAUCACUAACACAAUCAAAACAGACUGCUGCAAUAUCACAAUGUAAUAGUUGAACACCAGUAGCAAUAGCAACUACAAUUGUGUUAAAUUGAAGUAGGCCGAGGUCCUUACAUUCCCUAUAGGCAGACUAUUUCCGCCAACAUAAAAAGUCAAACUUAAUCAGAGAGAUCCAGAAUUCAAAUUUUAUUUUGUCGUAUCAGUAACAACUAGGGAGGUGUUUGGUUCAUGGUUAAUGAGCCCGGUUAACGGGAAUCGGAACCUUAAUCCCAUAACAAGUGUUUGGAUUAGUUAUUUGAUGCUAUGGAAUGAGAACCUCAAUCUUUUAAGGUGGUUAAAUCAUACCCUUCCCACCCCUUGGGGUUACCAUACCAUUCCCAUUCCCGAUUCCUAUUCCCAACCUCAAUCCAAACGCCCUAAGAACUUGAUAUCGACAAUUAUGUUCACCUAAAUCAGUUAUAUCUAAACUCCGCGCCUCAGCCUCAUGUCGAGUGGGCCUAUUGGAUCCCUUGCUAACGUAGUACCACCUUCUAGCUAUUUACUUCAUUUGGUCCUGCAAAUCCAAAUAUAGUUGAAAGCAAUAAAUUGGAUAUGAACAAUUUCUCAGUACUGGAGAUCAGAUUAUAGGUUUUGCUCUUGCGUACCAUUGUACAUAACUAAUAAGCUUGAUUAAACUGUGGUGAAUUGAAUUGAGAUUUUAAAAGAUAUUUUUUUUUUCAUUUGUGAAAUCUUGGAUAUUCAACUUUGAUUUUAAAAAAUUGUAACAGAAUCUUGAGGUAUUCAAUUAAGAUUUUAAAAUAUACUAUAAAAUCUGGUGAUAUUCAAUAAAGAUUUUAAAUUAUGCUUAAAAAUCCAAUAGUAUUCGAUUGUGAUUAUUUAAACUUCAUUAAAAUCUGAUGAAUAUUAAAUGAUUUUUUUGGAUUUCAUCGAAUGAUGGAUUUUGUGAGAUUGUUCAGUGUAUUUUAAUUAUUUGAUAUCCCACCAAAAUCCACGAGAUAUUAAAGCAUUGUGCUUAAAUCUUAAAGAUUCGACAACAUUUUAUCAAAAAUCCGCAUCAGAUACAACCCACAAAAAUUCAUAGACUAUAUAAAUUCAUUAAAAUACCAGUUGAACACGACCUCUAAUCCUUGUUUAGAACCAUUACUAGCUGCAAGUCUGCAGCUCAAAGCGAGCCACUAAACUCAGAUGAGCAAACAAGGCAUUUCCAUGGAGAAGGUGCGGUCCAGUGCUGGGCUUCUGCAUACGAAGUCACCCUUGCGUCGCACUUGGUUCAACCGUGUGUUUGCAGUCACAUACCUCAUACCGAUAUGUGCACUGAUGUAUCAUCACUGCCAUAACAUUAUUACUAGUACUGAUCAACUUACCAAGAGAAACACUAUAAUUUUUUUGGUAGCUGAUUCCAUUCUGGCCUUUAUGUGGAUAACUCGGCAGGCAUUUCGCAUCUCGCCCAUCCGUCGCCAGGUAUUUCCCGAGAACCUGACAGAGGAUGAGAGAGAAUAUCCAGCUCUGGACGUGUUUGUAUGCACUGCUGAUCCGUACAAGGAGCCACCAAUAGGCGUGGUGAACACCGUGUUGUCCCUGAUGGCUUAUGAUUAUCCGAGGGAGAAAUUGUCUGUCUAUGUAUCGGAUGAUGGAGGAUCACAGCUCACACUGUUUGCUCUGAUGGAAGCUGCUGAGUUUGCUAAACAUUGGCUCCCGUACUGCAAGAAACACGACAUACUUGACAGGUCACCCGAGGCCUAUUUUACAUUACAGACUAAUUUUGGUUUCCCAGAGACCGGUGCUGCUGCAAAAUAUGAUCAAAUUAAGGUACUUCUAAGCCAACCAUCUAAACUUUUUUUUUUUUGGAAAUUUAUCAAUGCUGACUCAUGGAUUGUUGAAGGUUAUGUACGAAAGGAUGAAAUUGAGGAUAAAUGANAUGAACCCUCUCCAAGCCUUCUGCUUUGGACACUAUGCGAUUUGGCCCAUUUGGUCGAUUCCUCUUAUUAUCUAUUCCUUCUUGCCUCAGCUCGCUCUAAUCAAUUCUUCACAUGCUAUUUUCCCAAAGGUAAGCUAAAAACUGCACUACUACAGGGUCGAUCAAGUUCAAAUUUUGUAACGUGAAGAGUUGGUACACAGUAUAAAUAGGUAUUCAUAGUAGUUUAAUUAUUUUUGCUCUAAUUAUGAUGUCAGGUGACAGAUCCUUGGCUGUUUUUCUUGUAUGUGUUUCUUUUCCUUGGUUCAUAUGUGCAACAUCUUCUCGAAUAUGUUACAUUUGGAUCUCCAGCCAAAAGGUGGUGGAACAGUCAGAGAGUGUGGAUGAUGAGAGCACUUUCAAGCUUUCCAUUUGCAUUGAUUGAAUAUAUACUAGAAUGCUGGGGAGUAUCAUCGUUUGGGUUCAAUGUGACUAGCAAGGUACUUGAUAGUGAACAAAGCAAACGUAACGCAGAAUGUAUGUUUGAAUUCGGAGUGCCUUCUCCACUUUUUGUUCCAAUAAAUAUGGCGGCAAUGAUCAACUUGUGGGCGUUUUUACAUGGGAUAAAACAAGUGAUUAAGAGGAAUGAAAGCUUUGAAGAUAUAUUUGUGCAGAUGUUUUUAGCUGGCUUUGGAGUGCUUAAUUGCUGGCCCAUCUAUGAAGCCAUGUUAUUGAGAAGGGAUAAAGGAAGGAUGCCAUUAAAGAUAACUUUAUUAUCAACCUUCCUAGCAUGGCUUGUUUAUCUGAUAUCCUCUUCAGCCUUUUGAAAACUAGUAUUGUUUUGUAUCUUGAUUCUAGGACAAUGCUCUCCGGGUGGAGAUAGUAUCGUUUUGUGCAAUUCUUGUAUUGUAUCUUCAAGAUCAUACUACAAUACUUGAGUAUCGUCUCUUUUAUAUAUACAUUUUAAAUAAAUUAGGGUCAUUAUAUUUUUUUUCUUAUGUUCUGUUGGAUGUUAUGGAUAAAUAGAUGUUCAUAUUUGAUUUGAUUGAAUUUUGAAACGUACCAUAGGAGCGUUUCAAUUCAACCUUUCUCAAAGCAAUCUAUUUGUAUUCAUAUAAGCAGCGAGCAUGCUAUUAACUAUGUCAGCUGCGUUCAGUUUCAGACUCCAAUUACUAUCAAGUCACCGGGCAGAAAGACGUGGCCAUUCCUUUUAGCAGUGUUUACACCAUUUUAGAGUUUUGGUGUUGGGUUGGAGAUGAUAUCAUGCAUCUCUGCCUCUUUUAACACCUCUUCGACUGAUUUCCUUCUCAGACCCCCUCAUUUGCUUCUCUGGACUCUUUAAUUCAGUCUUUAAGAUUGCAAGGCAGUCUUCUACAGAGUCAGAAGUGCAAACCUUCAUAGAGAAGCUACAAACAAAGAACUAAUUCCAGUAACAGGUGUUCAAUAACUUGUGAAUUAAAUCUUAGAGAGUAAAGAAUGAACUCUCAAAAUGCAUCACAAGAAGUAGAAGCACUUUAAAAAAGCUGAGAAUGCUAACUUGUCUCUCACAACUUCUGAUUCUUUUCCAAACACUUUAUUAACUUAUUUAUUUCUAACGUCUACUCCACUUCUUUAAUUUAAUCAAGAAGUGACUUCUUUUAAGUUAACCCAAACGGCCCAAUAAUCUCUUAGAACGUCUCUCCAAGAAAUCUUGGUUAAAAUUCACUAAUACAUACCAUAAAUAAAAAUAGAGGCUAUGUACAAAACAAUUCAACUCCAAUGAGACCUUCCCCUUAUAUAUAAUUAUAGCCAACCUUUAUUGAUGUAGCAAGAUUUUACAUCAUUUAUUACUAUAUUAAAACAUUAUAUUAUAUUUACACAACUUGAAAUAAUAAUUAUACACUUUUUUAAAAUAUAGCCGAUCAAAAUAGUUAGUACCAUUAAAACACAAUAUUUUACAGGUUCCACAAAUUUUAUAUAAUAUCUUGCGAUCAAAUUUAACUAAUCAGUUACAGACUUAUAGUCAAUACUAUUAUACUAUUGUAGAUGCUAUUUAAUUAAUUAGUUAUAAUCAAUAGUAUUCUAGAUGCUAAAGUCCUGUUUACCAAGUAUUUUUUAACCAACACAAUUGCAGAUCCUCUUAUAAUUACAGUCUAUGAUUUGUUGGAAUUAGGAAUCGACGAUCACUUCAAGAUUUGGAAAUGUUAUACCCGCUCCAAUCUCCAAACGGAUACAAGCCGUCCCGAAUGAGGACUAGAGAUCUCUGCGGAGAUUCGAGAAAUUUGUCUUUUCUAAAAAAAAUUAUAUUAUAAUAUAUGAUCUUUGAUUAAAAUUAUUUUAGUAAGUUGUCAUAAUAUACAAUGUUUUUAGUUAUAUUUUGAGUACCAAUUCGAAUAAUACUCAUUUAUAAUAAAAAUAAAAGAGUAGAUUUAAUAUAAUUUGUUUGUAUUAUAAUAUGAAAUGAUUUAAUCAAUGUGAUGAAAGAGAUUAUUUAAAUUUUCAUAUAUAUAUAUAUAUAUAUAUAUAUAUAUAUAUAUUUAUCAUUAAUAUUUUGUAUAAUAUAAUAUACAUAAAUAUAUUCAUAUUAUAUAUGAAAAUCGGGAAAUUUCAAGACGGUUCGCGACCAGAAAAUAUUAAUUUUUGAAUCCGUCCCGAUCUCCGAAUUCUGGUAUAUAAUUUUUUUCCAAUCUCUAUCCCGUACUCGAGAGAAUCUCUUAUUUAUGAUUUCGUGCCGAACGGCCCGAACCUGAUAAACGAAAAAAUAGGUGGUCUUUUCUGGAAUCGAGCGGGACAGACUGGAUCGGGUCGGUCAGAUGGGACAGGGACACGUCCUCAGUUGACAUCAGGCUUAAAACUAGGGGUGUAAACAAACCAAACUGUUGGUGAGCUACUCGAGCUCGGCUCGUAAAAUAUUCGGAUUUGAUUCGGUAGUAAUCAAGCCGAGCUCGAGAUCGAGCUAUUUGGAUGUUUUACCGAGCUGAGCUCGAGCUUCAAAUUACUCGGCUCCUAAGGUUCGCGAGCCUUAUCGAGCCUCUACUAUUAUUUAAUCUUUUUUAUUAUAAAUAUAUUUUUACAAAUAUAUUUAAUAUUUUAUUUAUAAAUCAUAUAUUUAAUCGAAUCGAACUCGAGCCAAACCGAUCAUAUUUCGAGUUUUUGUCAAUAUUUAGUGUCUCGAUUCGAGAUUCCGAGCUGAACUCGAGCCUAUCAAACUGUUUACGAGCCGAGUUUCGAACUUGAAAUUAAAGCCUCGGUCGAACUCGAACUCGAGCUCGAGCCCCGAACUUUUCAAUUGAGUUCGAGCCGAGCCUGACAGUGUUCUACUUGUCUCGGCUUGAUUACACCCCUACUCAGAACUCAGAAGAAAGCCAGUAUAAUAUGAUCGCCCACCACGUUUUUUUUCCCUGUCAUCAAUUGCUAGAGCUCAGUGCACCUGAAGCUCAACCAUAUAUGACCAUAUCAUAUUAAUGACUGUUGCAAUCAACCAUUUGUGAUCUUUGUCUGUACAGGGACAGCACUUGGAAAUAAUAAAUCCUCUUUUUCUUUUCUUUGUUUUCCUUCUUUUCCAAAUCAUAUAAAUCGUUUUUAUUAUCACUAACACAAUCAAAACAGACUGCUGCAAUAUCACAAUGUAAUAGUUGAACACCAGUAGCAAUAGCAACUACAAUUGUGUUAAAUUGAAGUAGGCCGAGGUCCUUACAUUCCCUAUAGGCAGACUAUUUCCGCCAACAUAAAAAGUCAAACUUAAUCAGAGAGAUCCAGAAUUCAAAUUUUAUUUUGUCGUAUCAGUAACAACUAGGGAGGUGUUUGGUUCAUGGUUAAUGAGCCCGGUUAACGGGAAUCGGAACCUUAAUCCCAUAACAAGUGUUUGGAUUAGUUAUUUGAUGCUAUGGAAUGAGAACCUCAAUCUUUUAAGGUGGUUAAAUCAUACCCUUCCCACCCCUUGGGGUUACCAUACCAUUCCCAUUCCCGAUUCCUAUUCCCAACCUCAAUCCAAACGCCCUAAGAACUUGAUAUCGACAAUUAUGUUCACCUAAAUCAGUUAUAUCUAAACUCCGCGCCUCAGCCUCAUGUCGAGUGGGCCUAUUGGAUCCCUUGCUAACGUAGUACCACCUUCUAGCUAUUUACUUCAUUUGGUCCUGCAAAUCCAAAUAUAGUUGAAAGCAAUAAAUUGGAUAUGAACAAUUUCUCAGUACUGGAGAUCAGAUUAUAGGUUUUGCUCUUGCGUACCAUUGUACAUAACUAAUAAGCUUGAUUAAACUGUGGUGAAUUGAAUUGAGAUUUUAAAAGAUAUUUUUUUUUUCAUUUGUGAAAUCUUGGAUAUUCAACUUUGAUUUUAAAAAAUUGUAACAGAAUCUUGAGGUAUUCAAUUAAGAUUUUAAAAUAUACUAUAAAAUCUGGUGAUAUUCAAUAAAGAUUUUAAAUUAUGCUUAAAAAUCCAAUAGUAUUCGAUUGUGAUUAUUUAAACUUCAUUAAAAUCUGAUGAAUAUUAAAUGAUUUUUUUGGAUUUCAUCGAAUGAUGGAUUUUGUGAGAUUGUUCAGUGUAUUUUAAUUAUUUGAUAUCCCACCAAAAUCCACGAGAUAUUAAAGCAUUGUGCUUAAAUCUUAAAGAUUCGACAACAUUUUAUCAAAAAUCCGCAUCAGAUACAACCCACAAAAAUUCAUAGACUAUAUAAAUUCAUUAAAAUACCAGUUGAACACGACCUCUAAUCCUUGUUUAGAACCAUUACUAGCUGCAAGUCUGCAGCUCAAAGCGAGCCACUAAACUCAGAUGAGCAAACAAGGCAUUUCCAUGGAGAAGGUGCGGUCCAGUGCUGGGCUUCUGCAUACGAAGUCACCCUUGCGUCGCACUUGGUUCAACCGUGUGUUUGCAGUCACAUACCUCAUACCGAUAUGUGCACUGAUGUAUCAUCACUGCCAUAACAUUAUUACUAGUACUGAUCAACUUACCAAGAGAAACACUAUAAUUUUUUUGGUAGCUGAUUCCAUUCUGGCCUUUAUGUGGAUAACUCGGCAGGCAUUUCGCAUCUCGCCCAUCCGUCGCCAGGUAUUUCCCGAGAACCUGACAGAGGAUGAGAGAGAAUAUCCAGCUCUGGACGUGUUUGUAUGCACUGCUGAUCCGUACAAGGAGCCACCAAUAGGCGUGGUGAACACCGUGUUGUCCCUGAUGGCUUAUGAUUAUCCGAGGGAGAAAUUGUCUGUCUAUGUAUCGGAUGAUGGAGGAUCACAGCUCACACUGUUUGCUCUGAUGGAAGCUGCUGAGUUUGCUAAACAUUGGCUCCCGUACUGCAAGAAACACGACAUACUUGACAGGUCACCCGAGGCCUAUUUUACAUUACAGACUAAUUUUGGUUUCCCAGAGACCGGUGCUGCUGCAAAAUAUGAUCAAAUUAAGGUACUUCUAAGCCAACCAUCUAAACUUUUUUUUUUUUGGAAAUUUAUCAAUGCUGACUCAUGGAUUGUUGAAGGUUAUGUACGAAAGGAUGAAAUUGAGGAUAAAUGAAGUUGUCGACAGAGGGAGCAUCCAUGGAUAUGUGACAGAUGAAGAAGUGCUCAGAACUUUUGCCAUAUGGCAUAAUACACCUGGUUUCACUCCAAAAAAUCAUCCUACUGUUAUUCAGGUUCAUUUUUUCAGAUAAUCUGUUUCCUAAUAAAUAAGUUGAAUUUUAAGUUUGUACAGAAUCAUCUAAUAACUGAGCUAGACUUUUUCAAUUAAAGAAAGGAAAAAAGAAUACAAAUGCAAUACUUCACGUGAGAAAGAUAUUUCUGAAGCCAAAACUAGAUUUAGAUUUAUAACAUCCCAAGCUCAUAACUGAAUGCAUACCGGACCCAACAAUCCACCACAUGUCGGCCCAAAAGUGCUAGCAAAUUGGUAUACUAGUUAUUUGCUUGUGGUCCAAAUACAUUUUAACUAAUCUAUGUGAUGUUACAAACACCCCCUCUUAUCUUGUCGAGGACACCACCAUACAUUUUAACUAAUCGAUGUGUGAAGUUACAAACACCCCCCCUUAUCUUGUCGAGGACACCACCAUACAUUUUAACUCAUCGAUGUGUGAUGUUACAAACACCCCCCCUUAUCUUGUCGAGGACACCACCAUACAUUUNCAUGUUAUUGAGAAGGGAUAAAGGAAGGAUGCCAUUAAAGAUAACUUUAUUAUCAACCUUCCUAGCAUGGCUUGUUUAUCUGAUAUCCUCUUCAGCCUUUUGAAAACUAGUAUUGUUUUGUAUCUUGAUUCUAGGACAAUGCUCUCCGGGUGGAGAUAGUAUCGUUUUGUGCAAUUCUUGUAUUGUAUCUUCAAGAUCAUACUACAAUACUUGAGUAUCGUCUCUUUUAUAUAUACAUUUUAAAUAAAUUAGGGUCAUUAUAUUUUUUUUCUUAUGUUCUGUUGGAUGUUAUGGAUAAAUAGAUGUUCAUAUUUGAUUUGAUUGAAUUUUGAAACGUACCAUAGGAGCGUUUCAAUUCAACCUUUCUCAAAGCAAUCUAUUUGUAUUCAUAUAAGCAGCGAGCAUGCUAUUAACUAUGUCAGCUGCGUUCAGUUUCAGACUCCAAUUACUAUCAAGUCACCGGGCAGAAAGACGUGGCCAUUCCUUUUAGCAGUGUUUACACCAUUUUAGAGUUUUGGUGUUGGGUUGGAGAUGAUAUCAUGCAUCUCUGCCUCUUUUAACACCUCUUCGACUGAUUUCCUUCUCAGACCCCCUCAUUUGCUUCUCUGGACUCUUUAAUUCAGUCUUUAAGAUUGCAAGGCAGUCUUCUACAGAGUCAGAAGUGCAAACCUUCAUAGAGAAGCUACAAACAAAGAACUAAUUCCAGUAACAGGUGUUCAAUAACUUGUGAAUUAAAUCUUAGAGAGUAAAGAAUGAACUCUCAAAAUGCAUCACAAGAAGUAGAAGCACUUUAAAAAAGCUGAGAAUGCUAACUUGUCUCUCACAACUUCUGAUUCUUUUCCAAACACUUUAUUAACUUAUUUAUUUCUAACGUCUACUCCACUUCUUUAAUUUAAUCAAGAAGUGACUUCUUUUAAGUUAACCCAAACGGCCCAAUAAUCUCUUAGAACGUCUCUCCAAGAAAUCUUGGUUAAAAUUCACUAAUACAUACCAUAAAUAAAAAUAGAGGCUAUGUACAAAACAAUUCAACUCCAAUGAGACCUUCCCCUUAUAUAUAAUUAUAGCCAACCUUUAUUGAUGUAGCAAGAUUUUACAUCAUUUAUUACUAUAUUAAAACAUUAUAUUAUAUUUACACAACUUGAAAUAAUAAUUAUACACUUUUUUAAAAUAUAGCCGAUCAAAAUAGUUAGUACCAUUAAAACACAAUAUUUUACAGGUUCCACAAAUUUUAUAUAAUAUCUUGCGAUCAAAUUUAACUAAUCAGUUACAGACUUAUAGUCAAUACUAUUAUACUAUUGUAGAUGCUAUUUAAUUAAUUAGUUAUAAUCAAUAGUAUUCUAGAUGCUAAAGUCCUGUUUACCAAGUAUUUUUUAACCAACACAAUUGCAGAUCCUCUUAUAAUUACAGUCUAUGAUUUGUUGGAAUUAGGAAUCGACGAUCACUUCAAGAUUUGGAAAUGUUAUACCCGCUCCAAUCUCCAAACGGAUACAAGCCGUCCCGAAUGAGGACUAGAGAUCUCUGCGGAGAUUCGAGAAAUUUGUCUUUUCUAAAAAAAAUUAUAUUAUAAUAUAUGAUCUUUGAUUAAAAUUAUUUUAGUAAGUUGUCAUAAUAUACAAUGUUUUUAGUUAUAUUUUGAGUACCAAUUCGAAUAAUACUCAUUUAUAAUAAAAAUAAAAGAGUAGAUUUAAUAUAAUUUGUUUGUAUUAUAAUAUGAAAUGAUUUAAUCAAUGUGAUGAAAGAGAUUAUUUAAAUUUUCAUAUAUAUAUAUAUAUAUAUAUAUAUAUAUAUAUAUUUAUCAUUAAUAUUUUGUAUAAUAUAAUAUACAUAAAUAUAUUCAUAUUAUAUAUGAAAAUCGGGAAAUUUCAAGACGGUUCGCGACCAGAAAAUAUUAAUUUUUGAAUCCGUCCCGAUCUCCGAAUUCUGGUAUAUAAUUUUUUUCCAAUCUCUAUCCCGUACUCGAGAGAAUCUCUUAUUUAUGAUUUCGUGCCGAACGGCCCGAACCUGAUAAACGAAAAAAUAGGUGGUCUUUUCUGGAAUCGAGCGGGACAGACUGGAUCGGGUCGGUCAGAUGGGACAGGGACACGUCCUCAGUUGACAUCAGGCUUAAAACUAGGGGUGUAAACAAACCAAACUGUUGGUGAGCUACUCGAGCUCGGCUCGUAAAAUAUUCGGAUUUGAUUCGGUAGUAAUCAAGCCGAGCUCGAGAUCGAGCUAUUUGGAUGUUUUACCGAGCUGAGCUCGAGCUUCAAAUUACUCGGCUCCUAAGGUUCGCGAGCCUUAUCGAGCCUCUACUAUUAUUUAAUCUUUUUUAUUAUAAAUAUAUUUUUACAAAUAUAUUUAAUAUUUUAUUUAUAAAUCAUAUAUUUAAUCGAAUCGAACUCGAGCCAAACCGAUCAUAUUUCGAGUUUUUGUCAAUAUUUAGUGUCUCGAUUCGAGAUUCCGAGCUGAACUCGAGCCUAUCAAACUGUUUACGAGCCGAGUUUCGAACUUGAAAUUAAAGCCUCGGUCGAACUCGAACUCGAGCUCGAGCCCCGAACUUUUCAAUUGAGUUCGAGCCGAGCCUGACAGUGUUCUACUUGUCUCGGCUUGAUUACACCCCUACUCAGAACUCAGAAGAAAGCCAGUAUAAUAUGAUCGCCCACCACGUUUUUUUUCCCUGUCAUCAAUUGCUAGAGCUCAGUGCACCUGAAGCUCAACCAUAUAUGACCAUAUCAUAUUAAUGACUGUUGCAAUCAACCAUUUGUGAUCUUUGUCUGUACAGGGACAGCACUUGGAAAUAAUAAAUCCUCUUUUUCUUUUCUUUGUUUUCCUUCUUUUCCAAAUCAUAUAAAUCGUUUUUAUUAUCACUAACACAAUCAAAACAGACUGCUGCAAUAUCACAAUGUAAUAGUUGAACACCAGUAGCAAUAGCAACUACAAUUGUGUUAAAUUGAAGUAGGCCGAGGUCCUUACAUUCCCUAUAGGCAGACUAUUUCCGCCAACAUAAAAAGUCAAACUUAAUCAGAGAGAUCCAGAAUUCAAAUUUUAUUUUGUCGUAUCAGUAACAACUAGGGAGGUGUUUGGUUCAUGGUUAAUGAGCCCGGUUAACGGGAAUCGGAACCUUAAUCCCAUAACAAGUGUUUGGAUUAGUUAUUUGAUGCUAUGGAAUGAGAACCUCAAUCUUUUAAGGUGGUUAAAUCAUACCCUUCCCACCCCUUGGGGUUACCAUACCAUUCCCAUUCCCGAUUCCUAUUCCCAACCUCAAUCCAAACGCCCUAAGAACUUGAUAUCGACAAUUAUGUUCACCUAAAUCAGUUAUAUCUAAACUCCGCGCCUCAGCCUCAUGUCGAGUGGGCCUAUUGGAUCCCUUGCUAACGUAGUACCACCUUCUAGCUAUUUACUUCAUUUGGUCCUGCAAAUCCAAAUAUAGUUGAAAGCAAUAAAUUGGAUAUGAACAAUUUCUCAGUACUGGAGAUCAGAUUAUAGGUUUUGCUCUUGCGUACCAUUGUACAUAACUAAUAAGCUUGAUUAAACUGUGGUGAAUUGAAUUGAGAUUUUAAAAGAUAUUUUUUUUUUCAUUUGUGAAAUCUUGGAUAUUCAACUUUGAUUUUAAAAAAUUGUAACAGAAUCUUGAGGUAUUCAAUUAAGAUUUUAAAAUAUACUAUAAAAUCUGGUGAUAUUCAAUAAAGAUUUUAAAUUAUGCUUAAAAAUCCAAUAGUAUUCGAUUGUGAUUAUUUAAACUUCAUUAAAAUCUGAUGAAUAUUAAAUGAUUUUUUUGGAUUUCAUCGAAUGAUGGAUUUUGUGAGAUUGUUCAGUGUAUUUUAAUUAUUUGAUAUCCCACCAAAAUCCACGAGAUAUUAAAGCAUUGUGCUUAAAUCUUAAAGAUUCGACAACAUUUUAUCAAAAAUCCGCAUCAGAUACAACCCACAAAAAUUCAUAGACUAUAUAAAUUCAUUAAAAUACCAGUUGAACACGACCUCUAAUCCUUGUUUAGAACCAUUACUAGCUGCAAGUCUGCAGCUCAAAGCGAGCCACUAAACUCAGAUGAGCAAACAAGGCAUUUCCAUGGAGAAGGUGCGGUCCAGUGCUGGGCUUCUGCAUACGAAGUCACCCUUGCGUCGCACUUGGUUCAACCGUGUGUUUGCAGUCACAUACCUCAUACCGAUAUGUGCACUGAUGUAUCAUCACUGCCAUAACAUUAUUACUAGUACUGAUCAACUUACCAAGAGAAACACUAUAAUUUUUUUGGUAGCUGAUUCCAUUCUGGCCUUUAUGUGGAUAACUCGGCAGGCAUUUCGCAUCUCGCCCAUCCGUCGCCAGGUAUUUCCCGAGAACCUGACAGAGGAUGAGAGAGAAUAUCCAGCUCUGGACGUGUUUGUAUGCACUGCUGAUCCGUACAAGGAGCCACCAAUAGGCGUGGUGAACACCGUGUUGUCCCUGAUGGCUUAUGAUUAUCCGAGGGAGAAAUUGUCUGUCUAUGUAUCGGAUGAUGGAGGAUCACAGCUCACACUGUUUGCUCUGAUGGAAGCUGCUGAGUUUGCUAAACAUUGGCUCCCGUACUGCAAGAAACACGACAUACUUGACAGGUCACCCGAGGCCUAUUUUACAUUACAGACUAAUUUUGGUUUCCCAGAGACCGGUGCUGCUGCAAAAUAUGAUCAAAUUAAGGUACUUCUAAGCCAACCAUCUAAACUUUUUUUUUUUUGGAAAUUUAUCAAUGCUGACUCAUGGAUUGUUGAAGGUUAUGUACGAAAGGAUGAAAUUGAGGAUAAAUGAAGUUGUCGACAGAGGGAGCAUCCAUGGAUAUGUGACAGAUGAAGAAGUGCUCAGAACUUUUGCCAUAUGGCAUAAUACACCUGGUUUCACUCCAAAAAAUCAUCCUACUGUUAUUCAGGUUCAUUUUUUCAGAUAAUCUGUUUCCUAAUAAAUAAGUUGAAUUUUAAGUUUGUACAGAAUCAUCUAAUAACUGAGCUAGACUUUUUCAAUUAAAGAAAGGAAAAAAGAAUACAAAUGCAAUACUUCACGUGAGAAAGAUAUUUCUGAAGCCAAAACUAGAUUUAGAUUUAUAACAUCCCAAGCUCAUAACUGAAUGCAUACCGGACCCAACAAUCCACCACAUGUCGGCCCAAAAGUGCUAGCAAAUUGGUAUACUAGUUAUUUGCUUGUGGUCCAAAUACAUUUUAACUAAUCUAUGUGAUGUUACAAACACCCCCUCUUAUCUUGUCGAGGACACCACCAUACAUUUUAACUAAUCGAUGUGUGAAGUUACAAACACCCCCCCUUAUCUUGUCGAGGACACCACCAUACAUUUUAACUCAUCGAUGUGUGAUGUUACAAACACCCCCCCUUAUCUUGUCGAGGACACCACCAUACAUUUUAACUAAUCGAUGUGUGAUGUUACAAACACCCCCUCUCAUCUUGUCGAGGACAGCACCAUAUACAUUUUAACUAAUCGAUAUCGAUGUCCCGGACAAACUGCCCCUCCGGCCGGGUAGAGCUCGGUUGGCCCAAAAAUGCUAGCAAAUUGGUAUACAUUAGUUAUUUGCUUGUGCAUAUAAAGGGCCCAAAUACUCUUUAACUAGUCGAUAUGGGAUGUUACAAGAGUAUUGUCGACGAAUGUUCACUUUUAUCUACUUCAAAUACUCGGAUUUCACUAGGCUAUAACGAAUCUAACUUUUCUGAGUAGUUUCCUGAAGGCUAUCAAAUUAUUCAACUUGAAUCUCUUAUCUUUCAUAGUUAUUGUUAUUAGUACUUACUCCGUGCUGAAUAAACCUGUAGCAAAGUUUGAUCAUUAUAGAAAACAGGAAGAGUAUAAAAUACUAGCGUAUUUAUAACUAUAGGAACUAAUAACAAAAUAGAACUAAUGAAGAGGAUCUUGCAGAUAAUCAUGGAGAGCGCCAGUGAAAAGGAUGAGUCCGGUGACAGAAUGCCUAAUCUUGUAUAUGUUUCCAGAGAAAAGAAGAAGUCUACACCCCAUAACUACAAGGCUGGUGCGCUCAACGUUCUGGUAUUAAUGUUUAUAAUUGUUGUUGAUCAAACACAUAUAUGGUAAACAGAAAGUUAAUCUUCAUUUCUUGUUAAAUUCACAUGUUAUACAUAUUUAUGCAUAUAAAGCUUCGAGUAUCAGCAACUAUGACAAAUGCACCGCUGGUGUUGACGCAAGACUGUGACAUGUUUUCAAAUGAUCCCAAGACUCCACUUCGUGCACUCUGCUACUUUAUGGACCCUGGAAUGGACCCGAACUUGGCGUUGGUCCAGUUCCCUCAAAUUUUCCAUGGGAUUAACAAGGAUGAUAUAUAUAACGCUGAACUUAGAGAAAUGCUUGUCAAUAAUAUUUUGGGAAUGGAUGGUUUAUUAGGACCACCUUAUAUGGGUUCUGGGGGGUUUUUUCGUCGACAAGCUUUGUUUGGAACUCCAGUAUCACACAUACCUCCCCAGCCUUCAGAAAUUAGUCCUCGUCAUGUUAUUAAUAAGUCAAUGCACUCUGCAGAGAUUUUGGCUCUGGCACACCAUGUUGGAGGCUGUAACUUUGAGGUUCAAACCGAGUGGGGAUCAGAGGUUAGACACUUUGGUACUUUCAUUAAUAAAAUUCACGUAUUACAUCAAACCAAAAUAAUAAAUUUUUAUCCUCUCAUUGUCGCAGAUGGGAUUUAGGUAUGGCUCUCUGGUGGAGGAUUUUAACACAGGCUACAGAAUGCAAUGCCAAGGAUGGAGAUCUGUUUUCUGCAAUCCAAUGAGACCAGCAUUCUUAGGAAGUUCACCAAUAACACUCCAUGAUGUGCUCAAUCAAAGCAAAAGGUGGUCCAUGGGUCUUCUUGAUAUCAUUUUUUCGAGAUAUAACCCUCUUUUCUUUGGUGUGCGGUUUAUGAACCCUCUCCAAGCCUUCUGCUUUGGACACUAUGCGCUUUGGCCCAUUUUGUCGAUUCCUCUUAUUAUCUACUCCUCCUUGCCUCAGCUCGCUCUUAUCGAUCCUUCACGUGCUAUUUUCCCAAAGGUAUGCUAAAAACUACAUUACUACAGGGUCGAUCAAGUUCAAAUUUUGUAACGUGAAGAGUAGGUACACAAUAUAUAUAGGUAUUCAUAGUAAUUUAAUUUUGUUUGCGCUAAUUAUGAUGUCAGGCGACGGAUCCUUGGUUGUUUUUCUUGUAUGUGUUUCUUUUCCUUGGUUCAUAUGCACAACAUCUUCUCGAAUAUGUUACCUUUGGAUCAACAGCCAAAAGGUGGUGGAACAGUCAGAGAGUGUGGAUGAUGAGAUCACUUUCAAGCUUUCCAUUUGCAUUGAUUGAAUAUAUACUAGAACGCUGGGGACUAUCAUCGUUUGGGUUCAAUGUGACUAGCAAGGUACUUGAUAGUGAACAAAGCAAACGGAACGCAGAAUGUAUCUUUGAAUUCGGAGUGCCUUCUCCACUUUUUGUUCCAAUAAAUGUGGCAGCUAUAAUCAACUUGUGGGCGUUUCUACAUGGGAUAAAACAAGUGAUUACGGGGAAUGAAAUCUUUGGAGAUGUAUUUGUGCAGAUGUUUUUAGCUGGCUUUGGAGUGCUUAAUUGCUGGCCCAUCUAUGAAGCUAUGUUACUGAGAACAGAUAAAGGGAAGAUGCCACUGAAGAUGACUUUUGUGUCAACCUUCCUCGCAUGGCUUGUUUAUCUGAUAUCCUCUUCAGCCUUUUGAAAACUUGUAUUGUUUUGUAUCUUGAUUCUGGGACAAUGGUCUCCGGGUGGAGAUAGUAUCGUUUUGUGCGAUUCUUGUAUUGUAUCUUCAAGAUCAUACUACAAUACUUGAGUAUCGUCUCUUCUAUAUUUACAUUUUAAAUAAAUUAGGGUCAUUAUAUUUUUUUUCUUAUGUUCUGUUGGAUGUUAUUAUGGAUAAAUAGAUGUUCAUAUUUGAUUUGAUUGAAUUUUGAAACGUACCAUAGGAGCGUUACAAUGCAACCUUUCUGAAAGCAAUCUACGUGUAUUCAUAGAAGCAGCGAGCAUGCUAUUAACUAUGUCAGCUGCGUUCAGUCUCGGACUCCAAUUACUAUCAAGUCACAGGGCAGAAAGACGUGGCCAUUCCUUUUAGUAGUGUUUACACCAUUUUAGAGUUUUGGUGUUGGGUUGGAGAUGAUAUCAUGCAUCUCUGCCUCUUUUAACACCUCUUCGACUGACUUCCUUUUCAGACCCCCUCAUUUGCUUCUCUGGACACUUUAAUCCAGUCUUUAAGAUUGCAAGGCAGUCUUCUACAGAGUCAGAAGUGCAAACCUUCAUAGAAAAGCUACAAACAAAGAAAUAAUUCCAGUAACAGGUGUUGAAUAACUUGUGCAUUAAAUCUUAGAGAGUAAAGAAUGAACUCAACAUGCAUCACAAGAAGUAUUUAAUUAAGAAGUUUCUGUAGUAUACUAAAAAAUACGCAAGAGAUUGUAAAUUUGGAAUAUAAGAAAUUAAAAUUCUGAAUAGCUAUGAACCUUCUUAGUUCUAAAUUAAAGCCAGGUCAAACACGCUUUUAUGUAAACUUAAGGUGAUCACCGAAAUUGAUCCAUUCAUGUUUCAGAAUCAAAAACAUCUUUAAGCAGGGGAAUGAACAUAAAAAAUGGUGUUUAAAGUAAUCAGGGGAAGAGAUGACAAGCACGUCGCUUCUGUCAACAAUAAUGUGACACUGUGAGAAAAUGGUAAGUUGAAGUCCCUUUUUGGAUGUGUUCUUGAUGGAAUUACCGAAAACUAAUUGUUGGAGGUUGUUCCUUGUUAUGAGGACUUAAACUUUCAUAUUUGGAUCUAAGUCAUUUUCUUAGUGUAACGGGUUAUGUGGGUGUUGCUAUAGAAAUCCCUCUAAAAUCCGUGUAAAGUUUGAGCACAGACAUUUUCCCGACAGGCAGGAGGUAUGCGGAUUUCCUGCAAUCACAGUUGCUGCAAUUAGACAUGUGAAUUUGUUCGUAUCGUAUAAUUUCGUGUCGUGUGCUCAAAGACCAAACACAAAACUGACCCAUUUAGAGUUUGUGUACUUUCUUGUUAUAUCAUAUCGUUCUCGUGUCUGUGUAUAAAAAUUAAAUAUAAAUAUAAAUAUAAAUAUACAUAUAUAAAUUAAUGUAAAAUUAGAUUUCUAAAUAAAAAUUUUACAAAAUUAUAUAUAUAUAUACAUUUAAUUCAUUUAUACUUACAGUAUUAUAAACAAUGCAUUGUUUUAAGAGAAAAUAUACAUAUACUUAUUAUAAAUACACAUAUUUAUGAUUAAAUUUUAAUAUUUUAUUAUAAAAUUAUAUUUAUUUGUGUACCUUGUGUCCAGUAUUCAAAGGGUAAACAUAAAACCUACACUACAUCUCACUCGUGUACUUCGUGUUCGUGUAUUUUUCUUGUCGUGUACUUCGUGUUCAUGUAUUUUUCGUGUCGUGUACUCAAAAUGAAAAUACAAACACCAAAUUUUCGUGUCGUUUUCGUGUCGUGUUUUUGCGUCGUAUGAAAAAUUGCCGGGUCUAGCUGCAAGUUGUUGGCAUCUGCUGUAACAAAGUGACAUUUUGCUGAAGGAAAUAAAGUCUAUUGAUUUGACUGUGAGCGCUAUCAUUUAAUCCAUGAGUUAACUGUAGUCUAUCUUCAAGUAAGGCUUUGCUGCAUCCGCGCCACUGGGUUACCCCCACCCUUUGUUAAAAGUAGCGAAUUUUUUGCAGGUUUCUUUUGCUUAAGUUGCAUUGUACGUAAAUUCUAUUAUUUUAAAGGGCUAACUCAUGAUUUUUGUUGAUUUUUAUGUCUUUGCUCUUAUCAAAAGCAAGAACAUUCUACUGGUUCCGAUCAAUGCUUGGCUCUGCUGUACGUUUAGCUUAGGACAUUUUUACUUAUCAGAAGCCUUUUCUAAAUAUGUGUCCGGCAAUGAGGUGGACUUCAUCUGUUUCUCUGAUUAUAUUUGAUUACAAGAAAUUAGAGAAGCCUUCUGCAUCUCUUCCUUUAAGUAAAGCACCAGCAGAAGAUCAGUUCUCGCGACUUCAAAUUUAUAUGCACCGGUGCAUUUGCAAGAGCGGCCCUCUCGAGUCUUUACUUUACAUACAAUAAUUUCCCUGCCAGGUUUGGUAAUUCAUUUUCAGUUGUGCUGCAUCAUUAUUAUCUGUUACUUGUUGCUUUCUGAAACCGCUCUAACUUCGUUUUUCUGGUUUAAAUACUUGCCUUAGCCCUCAGUCGGUGAUGGUUCAAUCCAACAGAAUCAUAUCCUUCCUCUGCCCCUACAAUAAUUGGAGAACAACCGAAACUCAAACAUCAAUUUUGUCAUACCAGUAAAACCUAAGAACUUGAUAUCGACAAUUAUGUUCACCUAAAUCAGUCAUUUCUAAGCUUGGCACAUCAGCCUCACGUCGAGUGGGUCCACCGGGUCCCUUGCUGUUAUGUGAUCUAAUAUCACGUACUACUAUUUAUUUCUCUUGGUCCUGAAAAUCCAAAUAUCGUUGAAAGCAAUAAAUAGGAUAUCCCAACCAUAUAUGUCAGUACUCAAGAUUAGAUUGUAAAUCUCUUCUUGCUUACGUAGCUGAUAUGAUUAUAAGCUGGAUCACAACUAACAUGUUUUGGAACUAUACACACUUGGUCUAACUCAAAGUGAGCCAGUGAAAUCAAUUGAGCAAACAAGGCGUUUCCAUGGAGAAGGCGCGGUCCAGUGCUGGUGUUCUGCAUACAAAGUCACCCUUGCGUCGCACUUGGAUCAACCGUAUAUUUGCAGUCAUAUACCUCAUACCGAUAUGUGCACUGAUGUAUCAUCACUGCCAUAACAUUAUUACUAGUACUGAUCAAGUUACCAAGAGAAACGCUGUAAUUUUUUUGAUAGCUGAUUCCAUUCUGGCAUUUAUGUGGAUAACUCGGCAGGCAUUUCACAUCUCGCCUAUCCGUCGCCAGGUAUUUCCUGAGAACCUGACAGCGGAUGAGAGUGAAUAUCCAGCUCUGGACGUGUUUGUAUGCACUGCUGAUCCGUUCAAGGAGCCGCCUAUAGGCGUGAUGAACACCGUCUUGUCCCUGAUGGCUUAUGAUUACCCGAGGGAGAAAUUGUCAGUCUAUGUAUCGGAUGAUGGAGGAUCAGAGCUCACACUGUUUGCUCUGAUGGAAGCUGCUGAGUUUGCUAAACAUUGGCUCCCGUACUGUAAGAAACAGAACAUACUCGAUAGGUCACCCGAAGCAUAUUUUACAUCAAGGACUAAUUUUGGUUUCCCAGAGACCGGUCCUGCUGCUACAAAACAUAAUCAAAUUAAGGUACUUCUCAGACUACAAUUGAAUGUCUCUGUGUAAUAAUUUGUAUACAUAAAUCAAUUAUUUGGAGGAGCUAUGAUGACUUGCGAAUUGUUGAAGGUUUUGUACGAAAAGAUGGAAUCGAGGAUAAAUGAAGUUGUCGAAAGAAGGAGCAUCGAUGGAUAUGUGACAGAUGAAGAAGCACUUCGAACUUUUGACAUAUGGCAUAAGACACCUGGUUUCACUCGACAAGAUCAUCCUGCCAUUGUUCAGGUUCAUUCUUUCCGAUUAUCUGUUAUUUUUCUAAUUAACAUGUUGAAUAUUUCAUUUUAAGACGGGGAAAAAGAAUACAAAUGCAUUACACAUGGUGCUCGACAUGAGAGUAAGAUAUUUCUCAAGUCAAAACUAGAUUACAGUCGAGUCUAGUUAACUUCUAUCUACUUAAAAUACUCGGACAUUACUAGGCUAUAACAGAUCUAUCUUUUCGAGUAGUUUCCUGAAAGAGGCAAGUAUCAUAUUAUUCAAAUUCUCCGAGCUGAAUAGGCCUAUAGUAUAGUUUGAUCCCAACGGUGAUCUGUAGUAAAUCAGGAAGAGUAUUAAUAACUUGAGUAUUAAUCGGGAUGAGGAUCUUGCAGAUAAUCAUGGAGAGCGCCAGUGAAAAGGACGAGUCUGGUAACAGAAUGCCUAAUCUUGUGUAUGUAUCCAGAGAAAAGAAGAAGACUACACCCCACAAUUACAAGGCUGGUGCGCUCAACGUUCUGGUAAUAAUGUUUAUAAUUGUUUUUGAUCACACACAUAUAUAGGUAAACUGAAAGUUAAUCUUCAUUUCUUGUUAAAUUCACAUGUUUUACAUAUUAAUGCAUAAUAAAGCUUCGAGUAUCAGCAACCAUGACAAAUGCUCCACUGGUGUUAACACAAGACUGUGACAUGUUUUCAAAUGAUCCCAAGACACCACUCCGUGCACUCUGCUACUUUAUGGACCCUGGAAUGGACCCAAACUUGUCGCUGGUCCAGUUCCCUCAAGCUUUCCAUGGGAUUAACAAGGAUGAUAUAUACAGUGCUGAAAUUAGAGAAAUACUCGUCCAUAAUACUUUGGGAAUGGAUGGUUUAUUAGGAGCUUUUUACAUGGGUUCUGGGGCAUUUUUUCGUCGACAAGCUUUCUUUGGAACUCCAGUAUCACAUAUACCUCCCCAGCCUUCAGAAAUUAGUCCUCGUCAUGUUGUUAGUAAGUCAAUGCACUCCGCGGAGAUUUUGGCUCUGGCACACCAUGUUGGAGGCUGUAACUUUGAGGCUCAAACCAAGUGGGG